CAUCCAUCGGUGGACCGGGGAGACCGGCUCAAAACAGUUGUAAUUGCAGUGCCGGUCAGCUCAGGGACCUUCCCAUCUGCUAUCAAUCGUCUUUCCGACUAAUCGGACACCGAUCUACCAAACCAAACCGGCAAUAAUUUGUGCAACGAGCUCACACGCACACAAAGACCCGUGCUGACCCCUGGCUUUUGCAGUGGGUUCGUUCGCAGUUGCGUUACGUACUUGACAACUACUAUGGCCGCGUAUACCCUCUGCUAAUAGCACCAAUUGAACACGCGCCAUAAAACCCGGCGUAAACAGCCGACGACGACACGGUUUUUGCGAGGGUUUUAGUGUUUCAUGUGACAUUGUUUACCGUUCCGUCCGAUCGUCUUGGACGAAGGUGGAUUGUCUUCGUUUGCCAUCGAUUUAUUGCUGCGCUGCGAAUGUGAUAAAAAGCUGCUUUUGAUGCUACAGGGUUCCUGCUACACUUCCGAGUAAAAGAUCAUACCAUAUCUGCCCUCUGCUAUGUUGUUUUGAGUACGUGACUUCCUGGUAACUGAUUUCCGGUGUACAAAUUGCUGGAUCGCUGGACAGUUCCUUGAAUUCAAUUAUUUAUUAUACCCGGACCUCUUAGAAUCCUUGAAAUGAGCAGCCAACCAUCCAAUCAAAUCUAUCAAUUCCAUUGCCCCAAAGAAACCGCCCGAAUCUUGCCCGCACUGGAUUAGUCGAGCCGAACCGACCGAUAAGCUUCAGCCAUCACUCGAGCCGCGCAUCCCAGCACGAGCAGCAAUCGUUGACCAAACAUCAUCGUCAUUGUUUUGGUUGUCCGCCGCACCCAGAUAGUGCCAGAUUCGCAAGCCUCGCAGCUUCUGCUCCACAAAUCAAAACAAUAAACAACGAGGAAACAGAUUCUACCCGCGCGCACACGCACACAGUCGCAGCCGUGUUAUCGCCGGUGCGCUAGACGCGAUGGCGGCCACUGACCACACGGCCCUCAGGCCGCACGAUCACGCUUUAUUAGAUGCAUUCGCGUUGCUGAUUAGUACAGAACAGUGGCUUCCACCUACCUUACGCUCUCCUGCCGGCUGAAGGCGCUUCCGUGUGUUGAAAUGCGGGCCAGACUCGGUACAACGGUCAGCGGAAGAUUACUGAUCACGCUGUCGAGCGAGUCCGGCUCCUCCUCGAUCACACCCGGUCGCAUGAAGAUCCGAUUGAGGGGCUUCUUCUCAUCCAGCGUCUGACGAUCGGCAGCCAUCCUUUAACCUGGGACUCACGACAGGAUGACGCAAACGAAAGUAGAAUAUCAAACACGUCUCUACGACUCACAGUUGCACUUAAGAUCUCGUUUUUUUUUUUUUGUUUCUCUUUAUUAGAUAUUGGCUAAAGCACCCUUCACGCAAUCGGUCUCAAAUUAUUGGCUUGAUCGGGGUUCGAUCGUGGCCCACAGCGCGACUAAGGAUAAUGGUCUUGCUUUCGGCCUAUUAUUUAUUUACUAGCUAUCUAUCUUUCAUCGCCCACACAUUUCCACUAUUCCUUCUUCAGCACAGCGCAUCAUACGCACAUUAUUCACUUGUUUGCUAACAUAGACUUACUUAAAAACACAAAAAUAAAACUGGAAGUUGGUAAAAGAUAAAAUCAAACUCUGCCCGAUAACAGCACCCGGCUCUCGCGGUGCCGUCCGAUCGUUUGCACAGAGUGGCAAGAUAAAUGGAACAGAAAC